ensembl:lncRNA
CCUGUGGAUGCAAAACAAGCCCAAAUCAUUACCCCUCCAUCACCAUGCGUGACAAUUUAUGUGAGCUGUCUGUGAUGAUAUGCUGUGUUUGUUUUGUUGUGAUACAUCACAUCUGUGGAUUAUGGCUAAACACGUCCACUUUGAUACCAUCUGUCCGACAGACAUUCUACGAGAAGUCUUGUUGUUUGUUCAGAUUUGAAUCUACGUCUUGCUGUCAUGUUAUUUUUACAGAGAAGAGGCUUUCUCCUGGCAAUACAAACAAGCCAUAUUGUUCAGUCUUUUUUCUAAUUUUAUCGUCAUGAACUUUAACAUUUAACAUGCCAACUGCAGUCUACAUAGUUUCUCUUGCACAGACUGACCUUGGGGUGAAUUUGUUGGAACAUCUACUCCAUGGCAUUUUAUUAACACACACUUGAAUAUUUCCAGCAGACUUCUUCAACUUCUUUGAUUGAGAUGUUUACAUGUGCUUACGGUCAAUUAAUCAAGUGUAUUUGAUUAGCAGCACCUGGCUGCUACUUACCCUCUUAAUUUCUCUGAAUUAUUAGGGAUAUACUUAUUUUUGAGACAAUUUUGCUCUUUGUUUAAAAGAUAAUGCCACAGCGUAAAUCACGGUACAUCAUGGUUCAACUGACAUUUCAUUUGCCUAAUUUUAAGACCUGAUAAGGACCAGAUAAUUUUUUAUUAUACCCUGAUACAGAAAUUAUUUGAUUUGAAAGGGAGUAUAUUUUCUUUUUUACAACACUAUGUAUGUUUGUAUGCAAUUUCGCAUGUAGUGUUUCAUAUUUCAUGUUUUAUUCUAUUCAAUUUUAUUUCUUACUUGUUUGUUUGUUUUGUUUUGUUUUUUCCUUCAAGGCUAAGAAGACUUUUUUUGUGUUAUUUCUUUAUGAAAUAUGUAUAUUAUUAUGUCUUUCCCCUUAGCUGUGUCAGGAAUCAUAAAAUAUGAGACGGUAGUCAUGCUGUGCUUAUGAAGUUAAGGCCUUUCUGCUCUUGUGUUUUUUGAACUGCAAGCCACUCUCAUUACGCCUUAUAGCACUGUAGCCAUGGCUCUGCAUGUAGUUGCUAUUGGUACGGUAAAUAAAUGUUGAUUAGCAUGUAAACUACCAAAGAUGCUCAUAAUCUGCACACCCUACAAAUAUCAUAAUAGUGUGAUAACAUAGAACUAGUUGUUUUUGUUUUAAUUCGUUCAGUUAUCGUCUGUCAUUAAUCAGUUGUUUACACAAUUUGAAUAAUGAUUUUCCUAACAGCAUCUUCUUGCUGUGAUAAAGCAAACCCCUACAGUAUUGUAGGUUUUAAAUUGUUGUGGGCAUUUCCUCAUUUAGGACCAUCCUUCAGAUAAUUUUUUUUCAUUGCUUGGAGGAAAUUCAUAUUUUACUCUGUUUGAAACUAUUGCAUUGAUAAAAAUAUAUUUACUUUGAGGAAACACACAACACACAGUAUGCCUUGGAGACAUGUUCGUGUAAUGGAAUGAUUAUUCCAAAAUAAUCAGUACUGAAGCUUGCAUAUGAAAUCCACUGCCUCAAGCCACAAAUCAAAAAUUCACAACAUUUGUUACAAAUGUACAUCUACACCAAGUCAGGAAUGAACAAGGGC